UACGUAGGUGGCAAGCGUUGUCCGGAAUUAUUGGGCGUAAAGGGCGUGUAGGCGGCCAUUUAAGUCAGUUGUGAAAACUCUGGGCUCAACCCAGAGAUUGCAGUUGAAACUGGAUGGCUAGAGUGCAGGAGAGGAGAAUGGAAUUCCUAGUGUAGCGGUGAAAUGCGUAGAGAUUAGGAAGAACACCAGUGGCGAAGGCGAUUCUCUGGACUGUAACUGACGCUGAGGCUCGAAAGCGUGGGGAGCAAACAGGAUUAGAUA
rnacentral:rRNA from 1 species